UUUGGCUCUUGAUUCUUCGGGGAAAGCAGCUGUAGAGAAAUGAGAAUACAGGACCCCCUCCUCACACUCGCACACCCUGGUUCGCACGCAUUCCGGUACCCGUCACCUCGGAGCCAGCGAGACCUGGGAUCCAAAUGCGGUUCUGCCUCCUCCGGCCGUGGAGCACUGCAGUGUCGUCCUCCACGAGCCUCCCUGCCCCUGCUCCUGAUUCCCUUUCAGGAAUUUACAAACAUUUUCCCCAGAUCAAUAUCCGUAUUGAUUAUUCAUUGUGAGUGAGUCGUGUGUCUUUGGUGAUCCAGCUUGCAGAGGUAGCAGGCAAAGGCUGCUGCGGGGGAAAAAAAUAACAGAAGGCGAGAGGGACCCAGCUCUUGCUGGGUCUGCGGCUGUCGGCAACACAGAAGGGAAGAGAAAAAGAGAAAAGCACCUCAAAACCAAGGAAUGGACACGGGUGGAAGAGAAAGAGGGAGCAAUAGCAAGAAAAAAGGAAUCGAUGACUGGACAUCUGGUCCCAGGGAAUCUCGAUGGCUUGGAGGAAACCCCCAUCUUGGGUCUGCUGUUACGUGCAGGACGCAAUGGACUUUGCUCUGGGAGUGCAAAGUGACUCACAGUUUUGGUAUCUCCUACGUAAGAGCUUUGGGGGGAUUCCUUGGCUUGCUGACAGGCAAGGAAGACAGCGGCAGCAGUGAGGUAAAACACGAUUACUUCCAACUGCCUUGCGGAGGAGGCGCAGUCGUGCGGUGUGACUUGGACAGCUUGCUGCUCUCUGAUGGCACGCGGAGGGAGAAUAAUUAAAAAGGCCAGCAUCACUUACUAAGUGAGUAAACACAGAGCCGUUCCAAUCGUGCUCUCCAGCUAAUGAGAAGCUGUAAUUUCUUAUACUUCAAGGCAAGAUGAGACAGUGAUGGGUUCAGUGGAGGGUGUGUUUGCGUGGAUAUGGGGGUGGGGGGUAGUGGUGGUGGUAGAGUUAGAUCGACUAAUUGUUGGCAAUGUUUAAGAAAGGGAUUACUGGAAAAGACAGUGAAAUGAUGACAGGAAAACAUCUUGGACCAGAGCC
ensembl:lncRNA novel transcript